rnacentral:rRNA from 1 species
CACGUAGGCACCAAGCGUUGUCCGGAUUAUUGGGCGUAAAGAGCUCGUAGGCGGUUCAGUAAGUCGGGUGUGAAAACUUUGGGCUUAACCCAAAGCGUGCAUCCGAUACUGCUGUGACUUGAGUUCGGUAGGGGAGUGGGGAAUUCCUAGUGUAGCGGUGAAAUGCGCAGAUAUUAGGAGGAACACCGGUGGCGAAGGCGCCACUCUGGGCCGAAACUGACGCUGAGGAGCGAAAG